GACGAACGCUGGCGGCGUGCUUAACACAUGCAAGUCGAACGGAAAGGCCCUGCUUUUGUGGGGUGCUCGAGUGGCGAACGGGUGAGUAACACGUGAGUAACCUGCCCUUGACUUUGGGAUAACUUCAGGAAACUGGGGCUAAUACCGGAUAGGAGCUCCUGCUGCAUGGUGGGGGUUGGAAAGUUUCGGCGGUUGGGGAUGGACUCGCGGCUUAUCAGCUUGUUGGUGGGGUAGUGGCUUACCAAGGCUUUGACGGGUAGCCGGCCUGAGAGGGUGACCGGCCACAUUGGGACUGAGAUGCGGCCCAGACUCCUACGGGAGGCAGCAGUGGGGAAUAUUGCACAAUGGGCGGAAGCCUGAUGCAGCAACGCCGCGUGCGGAAUGACGGCCUUCGGGUUGUAAACCGCUUUCGCCUGUGACGAAGCGUGAGUGACGGUAAUGGGUAAAGAAGCACCGGCUAACUACGUG
rnacentral:rRNA from 1 species